rnacentral:misc_RNA from 1 species
GCAUAAUCAAGCAUCCAUUUUUCUGCUUUUUUCCUUUCAUCAGUCAUUUGAUGCCUCAAAUCCACUUUUUCUGGUUCUUGAUCAGGUGUUAGGGGAAGAAAUUGAGGCGCUCGUGGGUUGAAUUUCCUCGCUUUUUCAAGUGCCUUGAUUGAUCUCUUGAGGAGGAUCAACUUCUUCAGCUUGCUCCAGUUCUUGGACUUUUGUGUCUCAGGUUUGUUCUUGGCUAGUGGAAGUGCUCUCUCUUCUUUUGGAUCCUUUGUUUCUUGAUCCAACAUUUUUCCACCUUCAGUCAUGUCAAGAUUUGUCAAGCUUUCGGUAGAAUUUGAGCGAUUGUUCACUUCACCUUCAGCUUCUGAGAGUUCCUGGUCCGGGAUUAUGUCACUGGUGACUGACUGUGUAUCUGAUGAAUCAUCUUGAAUUGGCGUUGUAAGGAUCUCGUUAACUGCCUCUCGUAUGAGUUUGACAGCAUCGUCUCUGCAGAAAUUUCUCCCAUGGUGGCUUGGAUUAUGAUCUUCCCUGUUUGUCUCUGCAU